UACGAGGGGGGCAAGUGUUGUUCGGAAUCACUGGGCGUAAAGGGAGCGUAGGCGGAUGUUUAAGUUGGAUGUUUAAAACCGGGGCCUAACCUCGGAGCGGCAUCCAAAAGCUGGGCAUCUUGAAUAGGUCAGAGGCUGGUGGAAUUGGAGGUGUAGCGGUGGAAUGCGUAGAGAUCUCCAAGAACACCUAUUGCGAAGGCAGCCAGCUGGGACCAUAUUGACGCUGAGGCUCGAAAGCAUGGGGAGCAAACAGGA
rnacentral:rRNA from 1 species